GUGGGGAAUCUUGCACAAUGGGCGAAAGCCUGAUGCAGCCAUGCCGCGUGAAUGAUGAAGGCCUUAGGGUUGUAAAAUUCUUUCGUCAGGGAUGAUAAUGACCGUACCUGAAGAAGAAGCCCCGGCUAACUUCGUGCCAGCAGCCGCGGUAAUACGAAGGGGGCUAGCGUUGUUCGGAAUUACUGGGCGUAAAGCGCACGUAGGCGGACUUUUAAGUCAGGUGUGAAAUCCCGGGGCUCAACCUCGGAACUGCAUUUGAAACUGGAAGUCUUGAGAUCAGGAGAGGUUAGCGGAAUACCGAGUGUAGAGGUGAAAUUCGUAGAUAUUCGGUGGAACACCAGUGGCGAAGGCGGCUAACUGGACUGAUACUGACGCUGAGGUGCGAAAGUGUGGGGAGCAAACAGGAUUAGAAACCCUGGUAGUCC
rnacentral:rRNA from 1 species